UGGGGUAUAUUGCACAAUGGGCGAAAGCCUGAUGCAGCGACGCCGCGUGGGGGAGGAAGGCCUUCGGGUUGUAAACUUCUUUUGCUCUGAACAAGGCAUGCUAAUGGGUGUGUUGAGUGUAGGGGUUGAUUAGCGCCGGCUAACUACUUGCCAGCAGCCGCGGGAAUACGUAGGGCGCGAGCGUUGUCCGGAAUUAUUGGGCGUAAAGGGCUGGUAGGUGGGUGGUUGCGUCUGUCGUGAAAGCUCAUGGCUUAACUGUGGGUUGGCGGUGGGUACGGACUGGCUUGAGUGCAGUAGGGGAGGCGGGAAUUCCUGGUGUAGCGGUGGAAUGCGCAGAUAUCAGGAGGAAUACCGGUGGCGAAGGCGGGUCUCUGGGCUGUUACUGACACUGAGGAGCGAAAGCAUGGGGAGCGAACAGG
rnacentral:rRNA from 1 species